rnacentral:lncRNA from 1 species
CCAUCUUUAUCCAGGUGUGCCCAGGUGUGCCCAGGUGUGCCCAGGGCGGGGUCAGAAGGGGCACGGGCACACCUGGCACCCCAAUAAUGGCACAGGUGACUCUGCCAGGUGUUUCCAUGUUCAUCCAUCUUUAUCCAGCUGCCCCAGGUGCCCCCAGCAGCCCCCAGGUGCACCCAGGUGCGCCCAGGUGAGGUGAAAAUGCGGUUCAGCUGUGCCGAGCUGCCCCCAGGUGUGCCCAGGUGAGGUUAGAAUGGGGUCCAGGUGCCCCCAGGCACCCCCAGGUGUGCCCAGGUGUGCCUAGGUGAGGUUUAAGCUGUCCCCAGCUGCCCCCAGGUGUGCCCAGGUGUGCCCAGGUGAGGUUAGAAUGAGGUCCAGGUGCCCCCAGCUGCCCCCAGGCACCCCCAGGUGUGCCCAGGUGCCCCCAGGUGUGCCCAGGUGAGGUUUAAGCUGUCCCCAGGUGCCCCCAGGUGCGCCUCCCUCCCCGCAGGCUGAACCAGGCCACGUUCCAGCCCUCGCUGGGUCGGUCUUGGCCAUGGGUUGGUCAUGACUUUGGGUUGGUAUUGAUUUUUGGUUGGUCUUGGCCAUGGGUUGGUCGUGACUUUGGGUCGGUCUUGGUCUUGAGUUGAUCUUGGCUUUGGAUUGGUCUCAACUUUGGGUUGGUCGUUGGGUUGGUUGGUCAUGACUUUGGGUCAGUUGUGACUUUGGGUCAGUCUCGACUUUGGGUCAGUCUCGACUUUGGGUCGGUCUCGACUUUGGGUCGGCCUCAACUUUGGGUCGGUCUCGACUUUGGGUUGGUCUCAGCUUUGGGUCGGUCUUGACUUUGGGUCAGUCUCAACUUUGGGUUGGUCUUGGCCAUGGGUUAGUCAUGACUUUGGGUUGGUCGUUGGGUUGGUUGGUCUCAACUUUGGGUUGGUCUCGGCUUUGGGUUGGUCUUGGCCAUGGGUUAGUCAUGACUUUGGGUUGGUCGUUGGGUUGGUCUCGACUUUGGGUUGGUCUCGACUUUGGGUUGGC